AGUGAACGCUGGCGGUAGGCCUAACACAUGCAAGUCGAACGGCAGCACAGUAAGAGCUUGCUCUUACGGGUGGCGAGUGGCGGACGGGUGAGGAAUACAUCGGAAUCUACUUUUUCGUGGGGGAUAACGUAGGGAAACUUACGCUAAUACCGCAUACGACCUACGGGUGAAAGCAGGGGAUCUUCGCACCUUGCGCGAUUGAAUGAGCCGAUGUCGGAUUAGCUAGUUGGCGAGGUAAAGGCCCACCAAGGCGACGAUCCGUAGCUGGUCUGAGAGGAUGAUCGGCCACACUGGAACUGAGACACGGUCCAGACUCCUACGGGAGGCAGCAGUAGGGAAUAUUCGACAAUGGGCGAAAGCCUGAUGGAGCAAUGCCGCGUGAGUGAAGAAGGCCUUCGGAUUGUAAAGCCCUGUUGUUGGGGAAGAAAAGCAGUAGGUUAAAACCCGGAUGUUCUGACGGUACCCAAAGAGUAAGCACCGGCUAACUUCGUG
rnacentral:rRNA from 1 species